GUCAAGGGCGGGUAACUCCAAACCGACAUGCACGCGAGCACCUGUUUCUCCAAUGUUAGACUACUCCAAUGUCAAUGUUUACGGUUAUGUGGGAUCUGCUCUGUAUCAUCCGCCUGUAACUCACUGUCAGUUGCGAUUGUCAGUAGAACAACAGCUUUAAUCGGAAAUAUAACCGUUGUUUGUGAAACGUGACCUUUAAAACGUGACCUUUCUUUCUUUUUUUUAUCAGAGAGGACUGUUUUAAAUGUUUCCUACAAGAUCAGUCUGUCUGUGAUAGUACUGAUACCCUGAACUAUGUCGGCAACUGGUGUUUUCCAGUGGCUUAGAAAUGUUUCGAGACGUCGUUUCAUCAGACUUGGUGCUCCAUUUCUGCUCCUUAUCGUUGGAGGAUCAUUUGGGUUGGAAAAAUUUACAGUGAUUAGAUAUCAGUUCCGAAAAGGAAAAAAAGCUUACAGAAGAAGAAGCUGCAAAAUAUGGUCUAAAUUUGAAGGAAACAAAAGGCACAGAAGCCAUUGAAAAAAGCGUAUGAGAAACUACAGAAGGAGGAAGUAGACAACUGGCAGAAUAUCCGUGGUCCACGUCCAUGGGAAGAUUCAAAGACAGUUCAAGAUCUUCAGAGACAGAAUAGAAUUGACUAAUUCAUGGAGAGAUAACUGACUUUGUGAAGUGAAUUGAAAUGAAUGGUGUGUGAUAUGGAAGUUAUAUAUGUUUGUUAUAGACCAUGUAAUUACCAAGAAUCAAUAAAGGAAUCCUUCGUGUG